rnacentral:rRNA from 1 species
UCGAGAAUCAUUCGCAAUGGGCGAAAGCCUGACGAUGCGACGCCGUGUGAGCGAAGAAGGCCUUAGGGUCGUAAAGCUCUUUCGCCUGGGAACAAGAGAAGCUAGAUAACACCUAGCUAAUUUGAGGGUACCAGGUAAAGAAGCACCGGCUAACUCCGUGCCAGCAGCUGCGGUAAUACGGAGGGUGCAAGCAUUAAUCGGAUUUAUUGGGCGUAAAGGGCGCGUAGGCGGAAAGACAAGUCAGAUGUGAAAUCCUGGGGCUCAACCUCAGAACUGCAUUUGAAACUAUCAUUCUAGAGGGUAGGAGGAGAAAACGGAAUUCCACAAGUAGCGGUGAAAUGCGUAGAUAUGUGGAAGAACACCGGUGGCGAAGGCGGUUUUCUAUCUUAUUCCUGACGCUGAGGCGCGAAAGCAAGGGGAUCAAACAGGAUUAGAUACCCGUGUACUCCCUGAGCGGGCUGGCAAGGCGCAU